AUACUUAUUAAAUAGAUGACGAAUGAGUCUGGGGACAUAGAAACAGACCAUUGUAAACCGGCAACCGUUUUUGGGGCUACAUUUGCCGAUGAAAAAGGCCAGACAUUUUAUCAUUUUGUAUCAGAAGAUGAAUGCUAUAUCGAGAUUGCAGACUCCAGAAAUUCUGAACAGAACGAAGAUAACAGCAGCUGGGCUUCUGUGAAAAUGAUAUUUGAUCAUUUUCAAUACAUGAAAGAUGAAAGAAUCUUCUAUGGUCAAAUAGUUCCUCCGCAGGAAAACUCGGAUGAGAACAGUGAAUUUUGGGUUUAUGAAAUGCAGUUUUCUGAAGAUUUCAGGGAGAUUUCAAUUCAAUUGAACGUGGUAAGUGUCAGGUGUAUUCAGACUCAGCCAAAACUCAUUUGAAAGCUGAAUACAAAUACGGAUCCGAUCUCAAGUACAAAUGCUAUACUUUAAAAUCAAACGAUCAACAAGUGGAAAAGUUUCGGCGAACUCAUUCUUUGAUCUGUCCUAUCUGCUUUGACUCUUUAAUGUCGCCCUGUGAAACUCCGUGCGGGCAUUUUUUCUGCAAAAGUUGUAUUAUUGCUGUUCUUCUGUCAGAAAAUAAAACUUGUCCCUAUUGUCGGACUCCGAUUAACGCUUAUGUCUUGAAGAUCGUUGAAAGCGGCGAGUUUUUGCUGAAAAGGGCUAACAAAAUUGAGGGCAGUGUUUAUAUUCAAGGCGGAACUCUCGGUUUGGCAUCCUAUCAUUUUGACUCUGUGCCUGACAAUUGUUACAUUUCUUACGAGAGUGAUCGGUGUAAGUUCUGGCCCAGUUUGGCAAACGGUGAACGACCUCCGGAGAAAAAGUAUUUCAUAAAUUGCGAAUUGAAUGAAGAAGCGAGAACUUUUAGAGGAGAUAUAGAGUGGCAUCCAACCGACUGGCAAGGUGAUGCAUUGUGGCGCUAUGAAAUGUACUUCUCAGAAGACUACGAAUUCAUUUCAGGGGGUCAAGUUGUAGCGUAUGAUGCUGUUGAAAAUGGGAACGUGAAGGAAACUCACACCUUCGGUAUUAAUUUACACUACAAAAGAUACGCGGAAAACAAUCUGCUGUUAAUGUAGCAGCAGAUUUAAAUAACCAAUGAACCGGGGCUUAUAAAAGAAUGAGGCUGAAAUAGUUUCUUAGUCUGACUUAGAGAGAUAUUAGCUGUUAGAAUUCUUUGAUUGAAUUGGUCUACUAGGUCCUCAGACUUUUAAAAAUGAGGUAAUUCAAAAAGAUUGAUUCUUUAUUUGAAGUUUUUGUAAAUUACUAUUGAAAAUAUAUCAAGUUAUAUUUUUAUACAGAUUUUUUUGAAUUCAAAAUGUAUCGCAAAACAACGCCACCAUUGAUGAGAACAUUAUCUUCCCUGUAUUAAACAUAUUCAGGAAAGCAAACGCUUUUCGUUGUAUUACGAGUUCGCUUUUACCAACCG